rnacentral:rRNA from 1 species
UUUAACGGCCGCGGUAUUUUGACCGUGCGAAGGUAGCGCAAUCACUUGUCUUUUAAAUGAAGACCUGUAUGAAUGGCACGACGAGGGCUUAACUGUCUCCUUUUUCCAGUCAAUGAAAUUGAUCUUCCCGUGCAGAAGCGGGAAUAAUACCAUAAGACGAGAAGACCCUGUGGAGCUUUAGACACUGAAUCAGCCCUUGUCCAAAAUCCCAGUUAAGGCUAUGAACACUAGAGUGAGAUCUGAUUUAAUGUCUUCGGUUGGGGCGACCUUGGGGAAAGAAAAAUCCCCCAUGCGGAACGGAAAUACUAUGCUUCCAAAACUAAGAGCAACCACUCAAAGUAUCAAAAAUUUUGACCAACUAUACGAUCCGGCUAAACGCCGAUCAACGGACCAAGUUACCCCAGGGAUAACAGCGCAAUCCUCUUUUAGAGCCCAUAUCGACAAGAGGGUUUACGACCUCGAUGUUGGAUCAGGACAUCCUAA